CAGUGGUUCAGUGAUCUGUAUCAGACCAGUGAGCAGGGAUCAGGAUGAUUUCACACAGCUGUUUGCUGACUAUAUUCAUAAUCUGGAUUCAUGGAUCCUAUGGACAGAUUGUGAUGACUCACACUCCAAAGUCAGUUACUGUGUCACCAGGAGAAACUGUCACCAUGACAUGUACAUCUAGUACUAAUAUAGGCAGCGCACUAGCCUGGUACCAACAGAAACCAGGACAACCUCCCAAGCUUCUUAUCUAUGCUGCAAGCAGCAGACAGACUGGGAUCCCAGCCCGGUUCAGUGGCAGUGGGUCUGGAACCAGUUUCACUUUAACAAUCGGUGGAGUGUUAGCAGAAGAUGCAGCAGAUUAUUACUGUCAGCAGUAUAGCAGCUACCCUCUCACAGUGAUACAGAGCCGUACAAAAACCUUCCUCUUUCACUGAGCUUGGUCUCG